rnacentral:rRNA from 1 species
GACGAACGCUGGCGGCGUGCCUAAUACAUGCAAGUUGAGCGCUGAAGGUUGGUACUUGUACCGACUGGAUGAGCAGCGAACGGUUGAGUAACGCGUGGGGAAUCUGCCUUUGAGCGGGGGACAACAUUUGGAAACGAAUGCUAAUACCGCAUAAAAACUUUAAACACAAGUUUUAAGUUUGAAAGAUGCAAUUGCAUCACUCAAAGAUGAUCCCGCGUUGUAUUAGCUAGUUGGUGAGGUAAAGGCUCACCAAGGCGAUGAUACAUAGCCGACCUGAGAGGGUGGUCGGCCACAUUGGGACUGAGACACGGCCCAAACUCCUACGGGAGGCAGCAGUAGGGAAUCUUCGGCAAUGGACGAAAGUCUGACCGAGCAACGCCGCGUGAGUGAAGAAGGUUUUCGGAUCGUAAAACUCUGUUGGUAGAGAAGAACGUUGGUGAGAGUGGAAAGCUCAUCAAGUGACGGUAACUACCCAGAAAGGGACGGCUAACUACGUG